rnacentral:lncRNA from 1 species
AGAGCCUCUCUGCAUGAGAUAAGGAAAGGAAUUUAUGUCUGACUUUGGAGAGAUUGGAUGGAGAAGAAAGAACAGAGGAAAGAGAAGACAGAAGGAAGACAGAAGAACCAGAGGAGCAUAACCUUCAGACCUGUAGAUGGGCUCUUCUUGGACAUUCUGGAGUCCCUGGGGGAAAGGGAAGUCUGAAGCUCAGUUGGCCAC